CCAUCAGGCAUCAGCUCUUCUAAUCCCCUGUAACCACCGCCGGCAUCCCCUGCUUACACUCUCUCCAUCUCACUGCCUCGGUGGAUCCAUUGCCGCUUGCCGGAGCACAGGCGGCACACGCCUAAACAAGCAAUGGCCAGACACAGGUUGCUGCCCCGCCGUGCCAGUCUCGUAGUACUACUACUUCUCGUCGGACUCCUUCUGAGCUCCUCGACGGUGGCGCGCGCCGUUGCGACGCCGACGCCGGAGAGCCACAGGUGGAGCCGGAAGUUGCUAGUGACCGCGCCGCGGGUGUCACCGGACACGCGGUCGUCAGGGUCGAAGCAGGAGAUGGACGUCAGCGGGUGGCGGUGGACGACGCCGUUCAGGAGGGCCGGUGCCAGCCUCGGCCGCCGUGUGCCGGGGUCCCACGCGAACCCGUCUCACAACUAGCACUCAGCAGUGUAGAGGUGCGGACGGACCCGCGGAACGGCGAGCGUCCACGGCGGCGAGAUCGAUCGAUGAUCCACCCGGGCGGCGCUGGAACCAGGGGCGCGCCGGCCGCCGGCCCGGUGUGGUUGGCAGAGAAUGUAGCUAGCUGACUAGGUCUGUGUGCAUGUAUCUGUACAAUUUAGUUCACCUGACACAAUUUUGGCUUGCAAAGAUUAGGAGCUGACAGUAGCAGUUCCCUGUUGAGAUGAUAGAGAGGCACGCUCUCUCUUUUGGUUCUGUGUAGUUAUGAGUUCUGACAAACUAUAUGCUCCCUUGCUCUGUUCAGACUUGUGUGUGUUGGCACAGCUGCAACAUGCAAUCAAACCUGCAGUUCUUUCC